GAUGAAGAUGAAGAUGAAGGAGAAGAUUAUUGAAAUGUCUUUUUCUGAAUCAUCAGCGGAUGAAUGUGUUUCAUUUCCUAUCUCUUGUUGUUUUUCAGCCCAUGUACUGUAAAGAAAAUCAUCCAUGUCAGUGAUCACUGAACUGUAUCUCCAUUGUGUUUUAGCUCAGUACUUAGUUUUGUUUUGGAAGCACAGUUUUGAAAAUGUCAUCAUUUGUUGUUUAAAUGGCGUUUUUUAACGCCAAUAAAAUCUCUUUAUCUUCUAGUGAGAAAAAUCUUAUAUGUGGGCAAGACAAUUUAGAGAUUAUUGCUUGUGACUGUUUGGAGGGUGGCUGUGAUUUAACAGUCAAGUUAUUCUAUUUGUGAGAUGGAGUUCAUGGGUUUGAGUUAUGGAAACAGAAUCUCUGCGAAACAAGGGUAAGACUGUACUCAAUAAUCCUCUCCAGAUUUCACAAGUGUAGGAUGCUUCGUACACGGAGUC
rnacentral:misc_RNA from 1 species